rnacentral:lncRNA from 1 species
CACUGGGGCUUCUCUAAAAGAGUUUGGAAGAAAACCAAACAGAGAAGAUAGGAAGGACAGAGAGUGAUGCUUGGUGUUUUACCGUCUGGAAGAGCACAUGCCCAUACCCUGAGUCAGUCUUUAACUCAACCUCAGCAAGCAAACGCUGUGUGGCAGCGUCUCUCCGGUUCUACCAAGGAGCCAAGUGCCA